GACGAACGCUGGCGGCGUGCCUAACACAUGCAAGUCGAGCGGAGUCGAUCGACGGAAGCCUUCGGGCGGAAGAUGGUUGACUUAGCGGCGGAUGGGUGAGUAACGCGUGGGCAACCUGCCUCGAAGACCGGGAUAACAGCCCGAAAGGGCUGCUAAUACCGGAUGUGGUCAAAGAUCCGCAUGGAUUUUUGAUUAAAGGGGAAACCCGUUUCGAGAUGGGCCCGCGUCCUAUCAGCUAGUUGGUGAGGUAAAAGCUCACCAAGGCGACGACGGGUAGCCGGCCUGAGAGGGUGACCGGCCACACUGGAACUGAGACACGGUCCAGACUCCUACGGGGGGCAGCAGUGGGGAAUCUUCCACAAUGGGCGAAAGCCUGAUGGAGCGACGCCGCGUGAGCGAAGAAGGCCUUCGGGUUGUAAAGCUCUGUCUGGAGGGACGAAGGAAGUGACGGUACCUCCGGAGGAAGCCACGGCUAACUACGUAG
rnacentral:rRNA from 1 species